GCCGAGUAACAUGACUUGUCGACUUUGGUUUUACCCAACGUGUUUACGUUUCUGUUUUGGCCGCAGAUAAACACAGCUAUGCUGACCCAUUUGCCAACUGCAAGACUAAUGGAACGCACAGGAUUGUGGGAUAUCAAAGGCAGCGAAGGAUACUAUGCUGCCUUCAAAAAUCGGCCAGAUGAAGGCAUCUCAGGAGACAGGAACUGAAGCUAACACUGAAUUCGGACAUGCCUUAAUGCCCUCCUACCUUGGAAUGCGUUCUCUGAACUUUGAUAUGUAAAAACGUCCACCUAGAGCUCCUAACUUACAGACGAGCAGAAUGAUUUCAGUGAAAAAUCACGGUCUAGUGCAGCUUUUUGAUCUAGCUGCAACAUAUUCUGGAGGGGGAUUAUUUUGCCUUAUAUAAACUUUCAGAGCCACACCACCAUGAGCUGAUUCAAAAUCUAAUGAUUCAUUUCCAGCCUCCUCUCAGCUGCAAGAAAACUCUUCCAAGACAUAAUUUAUAAAUGGUCCACAAAAGCGGUUCUCUCUGUCAUAUUUUGAUGUAGGAGGCAGUCGGCGGGGUUGGAAUUUGGAGAUCUGGAGUCUCGCUCCAGACACCUGCAAUCAAAAUAUAUUGAUUUUGGCUCCACAUUCUCUUGUACGUGUGAUUCUUCAGAGUGAAUAUCGUGAGGACAUAAUUAGCAGAUCAUUUCCCACCAGGUCUGAUGAAGG